UGAGUUCGCGGAGAGUAGGUUAUUGCCAGGGUUUUUAUUUUGUAAUUUAAACCUUAAAUUUAUUUUUUUAAUGUUUAUGUUUUUGAAUGUUUUAUUCAAAUAAUGUAAAAAAUAAAAUAGAUAUUGACAUGGAUUGAACAAAAGAUAUAUAUUAUUUUAUGUUGCAUAAACAAAUUGGCAAAAUAGAGAUGGAAGAUAAAAAUAUGGUCAAAGUAAUAAGAGUCUAUGGUGAAUGCCUAGGAGCUUUAAGGCGAAGAAGGUCGUGGUAAGCUGCGAAAAGCUUGGGGGAGAAGCAAACAUUUAUUGAUCCCAAGAUUACCGAAUGGAGUAAUCCAACUAGCAAGAUGCUAGUUAUCUAUUAUCUAAAUAAUAGAGGCGAUACCAGGGGAAGUGAACCAUCUAAGUACCCUGAA
rnacentral:misc_RNA from 1 species